GCUCCGGUGGCUUAGUGGUUAAAGCGUCUGUCUCGGAUGCGGGAGGUCGUGGGUUCUAUCCACGGUCGAGUCA